CCGACCUCGGUCCUCGGGGCUCGGUCUGCCAGUGCUGAGAGAGAGAAGAGGUCGGUGCAGGUAUUCGCCUCUCGCCUUUACUCUCUCUCACACACUUCUACACCUCUACACUCUCCAUAUAUACAUAAAGUUUCCAGGAAUCUCCAUGGGCAGAAGAAGACAAGAAUUAUGAUAAGUCUUAAAAGAGAUAUUCACUGGUUAAGGAGACGAAAUAAUCCUCCUGCAAUGAACUACAAGAGUAUAUUACUAUAUACCAGUACAGUACAAUGCCUCUCUGACAAGUAAAACAAAGAAAUCCACAUAAACACUUAAUCAAAGGAGCUUUAUACUGGGCAUUGUUCCAUACAAUAGAGUACAGUACAGUGAGUCAUUCACUAGAAACACAUCAGUAUUAAGUUAUUCCACAAAACACUUUCCCCAAGUUAACUAAAGGUACCAUCAUGGCAUCACAAGUCUUACUAGUAGCCAUACUAGUACUAAUGUGUUGUAGUAUUCAUGUUACAUCCCUAGUGAAUGCAGAUGACCACCUUCUCACACCUGCUGCUGC